AGUGAACGCUGGCGGCAGGCCUAAUACAUGCAAGUCGAGCGGCAGCGCGGGGGUAGCAAUACCUCUGGCGGCGAGCGGCGGACGGGUGAGGAAUACAUCGGAAUCUACCUUGUCGUGGGGGAUAACGUAGGGAAACUUACGCUAAUACCGCAUACGACCCUGGGUCGAGAGGUACGGGGUGAAAGCGGGGGAUCGCAAGACCUCGCGCGAUGAGAGGAGCCGAUGUCGGAUUAGCUAGUUGGUGGGGUAAAGGCCCACCAAGGCGACGAUCCGUAGCUGGUCUGAGAGGAUGAUCAGCCACACUGGGACUGAGACACGG
rnacentral:rRNA from 1 species